UACGUAGGGUGCGAGCGUUGUCCGGAAUCACUGGGCGUAAAGCGCACGUAGGCGGAUUGCUAAGUCAGGGGUGAAAUCCUGGAGCUCAACUCCAGAACUGCCUUUGAUACUGGUGAUCUUGAGUCCGGGAGAGGUGAGUGGAACUGCGAGUGUAGAGGUGAAAUUCGUAGAUAUUCGCAAGAACACCAGUGGCGAAGGCGGCUCACUGGCCCGGUACUGACGCUGAGGUGCGAAAGCGUGGGGAGCAAACAGG
rnacentral:rRNA from 1 species